ensembl:lncRNA
AUGGACUCUGAAGGAGACUCUGGUAAUAAAUUCCACAAGCUUCUUCAGGAAGCACAGAGACUUGCAGCAGAGCUCAAUCCAAAAUUGGCAAAGAAAAGAAGGUCGGCAAAACCCGUAUCUGGUGUUGUUAGUUGGAGACAGAGGGAUAAUUCAGGACAAAUUAUUCCAAAAUUUCCCCCAAAGACUUAUAACUCGACUACACGUAAAAGGAGCAGUUCUGAAGUGGCUGAACCAGUAUUUCAGCAGCCUGAGCCAACACCUUAUGAUAGUGCUCAAGAACUUAAUGCACUGCAAGACAUUCUCAGGGACAUUCCUCCACAAGAGAAGGGCACUGUGCCACUAAGCUGGGCUGAACGGCAAGCUCAAAGCUCAGAGAAGUGGAAUGCUUCUAGAUCAGCCAUGGUUAAAAACAUAUUUCUCGCAGAGCACACAGACACCUAUAUCUGUGACAUCUGCCUGCAAAACACAUCUGUUGUGAGGUGCAGAGAUUGUUUGCCAAGACAGUUCCUGUGCAGUUCCUGCGAUACACAGAUACAUCAGCACAUCCUCCAUAACCGAGAAGCCAUGUUUGAGGGAUUCUAUCAACCCUUAGCCCCAAACAUGAUCAUUCAACUUCAAAAUGAUGGGUCACACCAGAUAAAGCAUGAAGUUCGACUGUUGCCGGUUCGUCUACCUCAACAGUGUACCUGUUCUCCCAGUCAGCUAAAGCUGACCUGUGGCAAAGAGGUCAUCCUUGUUGGAAUUAAUGGACGGUACCAACUAAAUUUGCCAACAUUGAGCUGUUCUCAGUGCAUGAAAAGCUGGACCACUGGACUUGAUGAACUAGUACAAUGUGGAUAUUGGCCUGCUACCAUCAACCACCAGACCAUCUUCCAUGUAGACCUGUUCCAGUCUUUCCAGGAUCUGAAGCAGCUGGCUCCUGGGCUUUCUCGUCAAGCAUUUAUUGGAAUGCUUGAUGAAAGAACAAAGUAUUUUGGCAGAACCGGAAAAAUAUGUGGUGACACAUUCCAGCGGUCAUUUCUGGAGUGGUGCUACGCGCAGCAUGAGGUGGACAAACUGUUGGAAGUUGAGCCCUUCCGGUGUACAGCAUGUUCACCACAAAUGCAUGCUGUAUCAGUGGAUGGAAAUAGAAAAUUAUACCGAUUUAAGAAUGCAUCAGGGUAUGAAGUUGUGUUCAGAAUACUUCUUUUUUCAAACAGAACACAUGUUGUUUCAAAAGCUGUUCA